GUAGUCAUAACUCAAUGGUAGAGUAGCCGUUCGUGGUGCGGUUGGUUCUUGGUUCAAGUCCAAGUGUUUACC
rfam:Cordyceps confragosa RCEF 1005 scaffold_114, whole genome shotgun sequence.